rnacentral:misc_RNA from 1 species
GAAAUGCGAUAAGUAGUGUGAAUUGCAGAAUUCAGUGAAUCAUCGAAUCUUUGAACGCACAUUGCGCCCUUUGGUAUUCCAAAGGGCAUGCCUGUUCGAGCGUUAUUUGUACCCUCAAGCUUUGCUUGGUGUUGGGCGUCUUGUCUCUAGCUUUGCUGGAGACUCGCCUUAAAGUAAUUGGCAGCCGGCCUACUGGUUUCGGAGCGCAGCACAAGUCGCACUCUCUAUCAGCAAAGGUCUAGCAUCCAUUAAGCCUUUUUUCAACUUUUGACCUCGGAUCAGGUAGGGAUACCCGCUGAACUUAAGC